rnacentral:rRNA from 1 species
AACGCGAAGAACCUUACCAGGCCUUGACAUGCAUCUCUAAACCGGUGAAAGCCGGCGAGUCUCGAAAGAGACAAUUUGCACAGGUGCUGCAUGGCUGUCGUCAGCUCGUGUCGUGAGAUGUUGGGUUAAGUCCCGCAACGAGCGCAACCCUUGUGAACUGUUGCCACCGAGCCGAGAGGCUCGAGCACUCUGUUCAGACUGCCUCGCUUAAACGAGGAGGAAGGUGAGGACGACGUCAAGUCAGUAUGGCCCUUACGGCCUGGGCUGCACACGUACUACAAUGCCCAGUACAGAACGAUCCGAGACCGCAAGGUGGAGGAAAUCUAUUAAAAACUGGGCCCAGUUCGGAUUGGAGUCUGCAAUUCGACUCCAUGAAGCCGGAAUCGCUAGUAAUGGCGUAUCAGCUACGACGCCGUGAAUACGUUCCCGGGCCUUGUA